AUGUCCACACCCGGAGCGUCGGGAAAGUGUUGCCCGAGGCGACCGAUGUCUUACCAGGUGGCUUUGUCUGUUGUGGAGUGCAACCAGUGUGUGAGCCCUUGGUUCACCGUCUUACGCCUGGUGUGCUUGUCGCAUUGGCAUAUGAUCUGCAGUGGCACCCAGGCUGGAGUCGUGGGAAGCGCCGGUGGAGAUCUUCAAGGUCUUCCCAGGUGGUGUCAUCGACUGGUGCCCCUGUCUAGUGGAUUAGUCCUUGUCGCACCAUCUUGUUGGUCGUCUUGCGUGAGUGAUACUCGAGCACCUCCAAAGAAACCUGGAACUCAGUGUCAUUAG
rnacentral:rRNA from 1 species